CUUUAAGGCGCGCAGGGUGCGCACGGGUGUGGGAGGGAGACCCCGGCGCCGGAGGGCCUGCGGUCGCCUCAGCCCCACCCUGGGACGGCGUGCUCCCUCCCCUCGCUGCUCACCUUGGUUCCCAAGAGCCGGGCGGCCGCACUCCGACUCAGAUUUUGAACGGAUGUUUGCAUGUAUACCACAGUGCUACAUUAAAAACCAGUCAUGUGGAUGUGGAGAAGGGUGCUGAUCAGGACUCCCUGUUUGCUAACAAAUUCUACAGCAGAAACAAAGUAUUAAGGUUUGCAGCCAGGAAGCAAGUGCAUGGGGAAUAAGCCUGCAGCUUCUUCCAAAUGAGACAGAGCCAAAUCUUUUUUCUGAGUCUGUUUUCUUCAUUUCUAUUAAACCAAGGUCCUUUUUAAGCAGUCG
rnacentral:lncRNA from 1 species